CGACCCCAGGUCAGGCGGGACUACCCGCUGAGUUUAAGCAUAUAAAUAAGCGGAGGAGAAGAAACUUACAAGUGUUCCCCUAGUAACGGCGAGCGAACCGGGAACAAACAGCCCCCCAGCCAGCUUGGCUUGAGAAUCGGGCCGGGCGGCUGUGCCG
rnacentral:ncRNA from 1 species